UACAGAGACUGCAAGCGUUAUUCGGAUUCACUGGGCGUAAAGGGUGCGCAGGCGGCUUGGUGUGUGAGGCGUGAAAGCCCGGGGCUUAACCCCGGAAUUGCACCUCAAACUACCAGGCUAGAGCAUUGGAGAGGGUAGCAGAAUUCAUGGUGUAGCAGUGAAAUGCGUAGAUAUCAUGAGGAAUACCAGAGGCGAAGGCGGCUACCUGGACAAUUGCUGACGCUCAGGCACGAAAGCGUGGGGAGCAAAAGGGAUUAGAUACCCCCGUAGUCC
rnacentral:rRNA from 1 species